rnacentral:rRNA from 1 species
CAUAAGCGGAGGAAAAGAAACUAACAAGGAUUCCCCUAGUAACUGCGAGUGAAGCGGGAAAAGCUCAAAUUUAAAAUCUGGCGGUCUCUGGCUGUCCGAGUUGUAAUCUAGAGAAGUGUUGCCCGCGCUGGACCGUGUACAAGUCUCCUGGAAUGGAGCGUCAUAGAGGGUGAGAAUCCCGUCUUUGACACGGACUACCAGGGCUUUGUGGUACGCUCUCAAAGAGUCGAGUUGUUUGGGAAUGCAGCUCAAAAUGGGUGGUAAAUUCCAUCUAAAGCUAAAUAUUGGCGAGAGACCGAUAGCGAACAAGUACCGUGAGGGAAAGAUGAAAAGAACUUUGGAAAGAGAGUUAAACAGUACGUGAAAUUGCUGAAAGGGAAACGCUUGAAGUCAGUCGCGUUGGCCGGGGAUCAGCCUCGCUCUUUUGCGUGGUGUACUUUCCGGUCGACGGGUCAGCAUCAAUUUUGAUCGCUGGAAAAAGGCCUGAGGAAUGUGGCAGCUCCGGCUGUGUUAUAGCUUCUGGUCACAUACAGCGGUUGGGAUUGAGGAACUCAGCACGCCGCAAGGCCGGGUUUCGACCACGUUCGUGCUUAGGAUGCUGGCAUAAUGGCUUUAAGCGACCCGUCUUGAAACACGGACCAAGGAGUCUAACAUGCCUGCGAGUGUUUGGGUGGAAAACCCGAGCGCGUAAUGAAAGUGAAAGUUGAGAUCCCUGUCGCGGGGAGCAUCGACGCCCGGACCAGAACUUUUGGGACGGAUCCGCGGUAGAGCAUGUAUGUUGGGACCCGAAAGAUGGUGAACUAUGCCUGAAUAGGGUGAAGCCAGAGGAAACUCUGGUGGAGGCUCGUAGCGAUUCUGACGUGCAAAUCGAUCGUCAAAUUUGGGUAUAGGGGCGAAAGACUAWCGAAACCAUCUAGUAACUG